AUUGAACGCUGGCGGCAUGCUUUACACAUGCAAGUCGAACGGCAGCGCGGGCUUCGGCCUGGCGGCGCGUGGCGAACGGGUGAGUAAUACAUCGGAACGUGCCCUGUAGUGGGGGAUAGCUCGGCGAAAGCCGGAUUAAUACCGCAUACGACCUGAGGGUGAAAGCGGGGGAUCUUCGGACCUCGCGCUAUUGGAGCGGCCGAUGGCAGAUUAGCUAGUUGGUGGGGUAAAGGCCUACCAAGGCGACGAUCUGUAGCUGGUCUGAGAGGACGACCAGCCACACUGUGACUGAGACACGGCCCAGACUCCUACGGGAGGCAGCAGUGGGGAAUUUUGGACAAUGGGCGAAAGCCUGAUCCAGCAAUGCCGCGUGUGUGAUGAAGGCCUUCGGGUUGUAAAGCACUUUUGGCGGGAACGAAAAGGACUGUGCCAAUACCACGGUUCGAUGACGGUACCCGCAGAAUAAGCACCGGCUAACUACGUG
rnacentral:rRNA from 1 species